CCCCCCCUCCCAUCCCCCAUCCCCCAUGGCAGGAGAAACAGUCAAGUUUUUCCUGCCCAUCACUCAAUGGCUCAAUCGCAUCGCUCUCCCGGCAACACCGUAACGAGGAGCAACUUGCCGUUUGGCUAUAUCCUAGCUGUGUUUGUGCCCUCACUCAUGGGCCAGACUUUUUUCAAAUAGGACAUGUAGUUUGUCUGCAGCGAGUGUUUUGGUAGAAACUGCGCCUCCCAUUCAUUAUAAUGGGAAAUGACCACAGACAAGUGCGCACACCAUCUUUGGACCUUGAGUGUGACGCGAUCGGGAGGGGGAGGCGGUUGCACUGGGGGCGGCGCAACGCGGCUCGGGCCCGCCAGUGCCCCAACGGGGCCCUAGUUUCUUCUUUUUCCUCCCCUUUGAACUGGAAAAUGGCCCACUUCCCACUGGCGAAAACUCAUGAAAUUUGGCAGGACGACCGGGCCUGGUGAAAAAUUCGAUAUUCUGAAGUCGCCCAAACAAUAAAAUGCAAAAUGGCUCCAUAGCGCCCCCUAAGGUGGAAAUUCACACUAUUGACUGUCACGCCUGUACGCUUUGUCAUAUUGACACAAAAAUUGACAAACAUAUGUAUCUCAAUAAGAUCUACAAAAAAGUCAGUGCGGCCGUAUCUGUCAAAAUUACGGUUAAAGGGUUAUUUCGCAUUUUUUGCCGAUCCGCACACAUUGGAAUUUCGCUAACUCCUCCGAAGGCUUUCGUUCCACCGGCACCACAUUUGCUCAGGCCAAUCUACACCCC